UACCUUACUCGGGGAUAGCCUUUCGAAAGAAAGAUUAAUACCCGAUGGCAUAGUUCUUCCGCAUGGUGGAACUAUUAAAGAAUUUCGGUCAUCGAUGGGGAUGCGUUCCAUUAGGUUGUUGGCGGGGUAACGGCCCACCAAGCCUUCGAUGGAUAGGGGUUCUGAGAGGAAGGUCCCCCACAUUGGAACUGAGACACGGUCCAAACUCCUACGGGAGCAGCAUG
rnacentral:rRNA from 1 species